rnacentral:lncRNA from 1 species
GUAGAGGAUGUAAUUAGAGGGUGUAAUCAGGGGAGAACCCCAGGAAACAGCAGCACCUGUGGGAUGUGGGGUGGCAGGUGGGGCAUAGUGGACCAGGAAAAAAGCUGGCAGGAAGUUCUGCCAUGGAGAAUGUCUCGGAGAAGGAAGUCAUCGCAGAGAGAGGCCUGAACACGUAUAUCAGGUUUAGCAAGAGAAAGGUCCUGGAGGACUUGAAGGAGAGCAGUUCUGGGGAAAGGUGAGCGCAGAAGCUGAUUGUAACGAGCUGAGCUGACUGUGUCAUUAAUCAGCAUGUGAUGUGCCUGGGGCAUAUCCUUCAGCCAUUAGGAAAAUAUUAUAGAAGGUUGAUUCUGUCUAAGAAUUAAAGGGAAAUCAUUCGGGAUGAGGCUUCCCAGGGCCUCUGACCUUGUGGGAAGAAAACCAGGAGGUGCUUAACCCAUUCGUGUUACAUAUUUGCUUGGCACCUGUGCAGAACAUUCGGAGAAGACCAGGCUUUGAGAAUCUAGCCGAAGGUGCAGAAAGACAUCCCUGGUAAUAGAGGUGAGCAGGUGGUCAGCUCUGGAUGCGGGGUCUGUUGGAUGUUAUUAAAGAGGAAAAAAGAGAUGGCUUAGAACUCUGCAGUCGUGUCGGACAAUGGCACACUUUAUGUCAAUACUGAUGAGCUGGGAUAAGGAACACCUCCACCAAACUCACAGUGUCGGUUUUAAGUGUAAGCCCCAGAAACAGUUUUCAUGAAAGUGUGUCUGGAGGAAAAUAGGAAAUGUCACUGCUGCUGAGAUCCAUUUGAAAUGAGCAGGAGAAAAAUACAGACUCGGGUAAUUAGAUUUUUAGAUCCAGCUCAGACUGUAACAUCUGUUACCCCGCUAUGUUCUGGGUCUGGGGGGGGUAGAUCAGGUGUGCUGUGGCGGGAAACAGAGGGUUUGGAGCUUUCCUUCACGAAGCAGCCAAGUGCACAGUGGGAACAGCAUGGGCUUUGAACGGAGCCCCAAAUGCAUUUGUUCCAAACCAUUUGCAAGUGAGGCAGCGUAGUCUCUCUGACCUUCAUGGCUUUGGUUUGUUUUUGUUUGUUAAAAGAAGUUAACAGUACUUUGUCCAAAGAUUAUUGAAAGGGUUAAAAUACCCUGUAAAUAUUCAAACAUAUCUAUGAAAUGCUUAAAAUAUUAGACAACAAGCGACUUCUCAAUACCCUCUUCCAUUUCUUUCUGUCUCUCUCUCCCUCCCUUUUUUCCUCCCUCCCUUCCUCCCUCCCUCCCUCCCUCUUUUUUCCCCCAGUGAACAUCUGUUUCUUCAGGUCAAGAGUCUGACUUUUAGGAAUCUAAGUGUGGACCCCUAGAAAAUUAUAUUAUUUGCAUCAAAGUCAGAUCCUCCAGGUAAUGGGGCUAAUUUGAAAGUGUCUCUAGAGACAAGAAGGCCCUCAAAGGCCUCAAAGUUCCCCUAAAUGGAUUAACUCUUCCCAGUGAUUUGAUCAGGAAAAAAAAAAUCUUCCAAGCUAUCAAAUGACUCAGCUUCUCUCAGGGCCAUAUGCGCAGUUUCCAUCUCAUUAACAAAAAGCUGAUUCCUCAUAAACCUUUGAAGAAAGAGUAGUUCUUUCCCAAGAAAACAUUCCAGUCUCUGAAACUGGAUGGAACCUCACCACGCAAACUGUAAACUUCAUUUUCCAGAGCAAAUGGCCCUCAUCUCCAACCUGGAAGGAUAGGAAGUGACUCCUUUCACUCUUCCAGUGAUCUGGUAUCUUCUUGGAUCGAGGCAUAAACUGUAAACUUGCAGAGUCACGGCUCUUCAAUUGUCAGAGGAGUAUUAUCCACAAUUUCAGAGAAGGGAAGCUAAACUAAUCUCUGGCAAGUAAAAAACAUGUGUCAAAGUCUCUUCCUUACAGUCUGAAGGACCAUUCAAUGCCUUGCUGAGGGGUCUGUUGCCUGAGUCUAUGCUCAGGUCUAAAAUAGUGUUUAUUGAUAUGCAAAUUCAUAACAGAUUAGAGGUAGAAAAAAUUACAGUCAAUAGAGAAAUCACAGGCAGAUGGGUGUAUCAAAAGGGACUGUCAGUGAAAGGAAAGUGAAUGCUAACCAUGACCCGUGUAGGAAAUCAAAAGUCACAACCAUCAUUGAGCAUUUUGUGCUGAGCGAAAGGCCAUGUGUAUGUAAUGCCCCCAAGGCCACAACCCAGAUCCCACUCAGCAGAGUGAGGGUUACUCAGUGCAAACCUUGAGAAAAAGCUGGUGUACAAAUGAUGCAGCCACCGCCUUAUCAAGAUACAGGACAUUUUCAUCCCCCUGGAGGGGGUUUCAAAUCCUGACUGAUCUGAUGUCCCUCUCUGUAGGUUGUGUUUCCUGCUUCCAGGGUUUCAAGUAAAUGGAAUUACACAACAUUAUAUUCCUCUGUAUCUGUCUUCUCUCAUGAACCAUCAUGUUCUUGAGAUUCAUUCUUGUUGUAGGCAACAUACAUCCACUUUUUCUAUUACUGAAUAAGUAGUGAGCUGUAUAAAUAUACCAUAGUUGGUUUACCCAUUUACCUAUUGGUGACUAUUUCUAUACAAAUAAUUUCAUGGGCUUAUGUUUUUAUUUCUCUUAGUAAAUAUCUAGGAGUGAGCCUAGUGGGUUAUAUGGUUAGUGUCUAUUUAACUUUUAAGAAACAACCAAAUAGUUUCCAAAGUGAUUAUACCAUUUUAUAUUCCCACCAGCAAUUUGCAAAAGUUCUAAUUUCUUUACAUUUUGUCUUUACAACACUUAAUAUUGUCAGCAUUUUUUUUAGCCAUUCUAGUGUGUGGGAAGUGAUUUCCCAUUGUGAUUUUAAUUUGCAUUUGCUUUUUAACUCAUGAAUGACUUACAGAGUUUGGAUCUACAAACUGUGUCCACAGGCAGGAUCAGCUCCAUAAUUUGGAAAUCUUCACAUAAAGUAAAAAUGUAAUGUUACUUGUUCAACACUUACUAAGAAUUCCCAGGUAACAACAGCAAAACAGUGCAACAAAGCAAGAGGUCCUGCUGGAGAGUUCCCAACAUGGCUCAGCAGAAACAAAGCUGUCUAGCAUCCAUGAGGACUAAAGUUCAAUCCUUGAUCCUUAACCCACUGAUCGAGGCCAGGGAUUAAACCUGCAACCUCACAGUUCCUAGCAGGAUUUGUUUCUGCUGCGCCAAACUCCCAAGAAUCGUUUUUAUAUUUUUUAAAUAGCUACAAAAUAAAAGAACAUAUUUUUGAUAGUUAAGAUUUUACCAAAAAAAUUCAAAUUAUAGUGACCCUAAAUAGUUUUAUUGGAGCACAACCAUACUCAUUCACUGAUGUGUUAUCUUUGGCUAGACAGUAACAGAGUUUGCAGUUGCAAAAGAAACUGUACAGCCUACAAAUACAAAAUAUUUCCUCUCUGGCCCUUUAUAGAAAAAAUUUGCCAAGUCCUCCUACAGAUCAUCUUUUCAUGUUUCACUUAGCCACUUUUGUAUCUUCUUUUUCAAAGUGUCCAUUCAAGGCUUUUGUCUGUUUUUAAUUGCAUUGGUCAUCUUUUCACUUUUGAGUUCUUCAAGUUCUUAAUAUACUGUAGAGAUAAUUCCUUUGUCAGAUAUAUGCGUGGAAAAUAUUAUCUUCAAGUCUUUGGUCGGACAUUACAGUUUAUUAAAGAUUUUUCAGAGAGCAAGAGGUUUUAAUUUUGAUGGAGUCCAAUUUAUCAAUUUUUGUUUUUAUGAUUAGUACUUUUUGUCUUCUAAGAAAUCGUCGCCUACCUCAAAUUUGCAAAGAAUUUUUUCCUAUUUUUUUUUUAGAAAUUUUGUGCUUUUAUUUUUUGCAUGUAGGUCUAUAAACCAUCUUCAACUUUUACUAUUUUUUGGCAAACUCUGCCUAUCCUAUAAGUCUCAUCAAGGCCUGAUUUUAGUUUUGUUUAAGGUGGGUCUGAAAGAAAAGUCUAGGAGUUCUCUAGUGGCCUAGUGGUUAAGGAUUCAGCAUUGCCACUGCUGUGGCUCAGGUUUGAUCCCUGGCCUGGGAACUUCCACAUGUCACAUGUGCACCCAAUAAAUAAAUAAAGACUUUUCUCCUGAACAUGGCCCUUGCUCCUAAGACACGGCUUUUAUAAUGUCCCAGAUAGAUGCCUGUAGUAUUCAUGAGAUACAAAUAAUUUCAUCCAUUUUGUCUAGACCAGAACCUCCUCCCAGCCCUGCUAGAGCACUAGAUUAUUGACUCUCAAAUCCAUAGCUGCCAUCCUCUGGUAAAUAAAAAUUCUCCCCUCAUGCAUGUAGAGCCUAAACUUUAGCUAUGGACUGAGGAGGAGCCCUGCCACAGGCUUCUGUAGCAACCCUCCACUCUGUACAACUCUCUCAUCUCCAGUGCCCUGGCUCAGUAUUAGAGUCAUUUUAGUUACCCUGAGUCAGAUCUCUGCCUCUUCAGGCAACGGGACCACUAUGCUGUGAUUGAAGGCCUUUCACUCUGCAGAGAGCCUGGGAAAUUAUGAAAUUAUGGAGCUCACCCAUGAGUGUCCCUUUUCUCAUGGAUUGGAGUCUUCCACUACCUCAUGGUCAAUGCUGAAAAGAAUUGCUUGGUCUGUUUUGUUUAGCUUUAUGGUUAUUUGCAUUGGAAGGGCUAUACCAGUACUAGUUAAUCGAUAAUAGAGAGAUGCCGAAGUCUUGUGCAAUUGCUUUUAUUACUGUUCCAUAUGGACAUGUAACCUAAAUUUAAUUUAUGCUUUCCCAAAACGUAACAGGCAAAAUACAAAUUCUAUUAGCUAAAAGUCCCAAAGGAGUUCUGCACCAAUUAAUAAUCGAAUGUAUUUUCUUAGCAGAUUAGGGUUUUAAUAAUAAACCAUUCACAACAAUGAUAAUAUUUAACUUUCAUUAUCUACUUGAGGUUUAUUUUUUUCAGCAAGAUCUUAAGUUAAUGAUGGGGAAAAAAUAGUACCCACAUAACCGUGAAGCCAUUACAAAGGGGCUCUAGAUUCUAACUUGCAGUCAGCUUCUUAUCUCUACCUCCACUUUCCUCCAACAACCAAGACUAGCUCAGUCAUGGUGGAGGCAGAAGCUAUCUGAUUUCAGUGUCCUUAAGCUCCUGCAAAUAUAAUGUUUCGUACUUGGAGUGGGGUCAGAGAGUUAAGGUUAAAAGAAAGUAUCAAUUAGCUGUUACACUCUCAUCUAGUUGGAAAUAAUAUCUGUGCCACAUAUUAAGGAGAAGAAAAUAUUCAGAAGAAAAGGAAGGAAGGAAGAAAAGGUAGAGGAAGAAAGAAAAAAGAGAAGAAAAGAAAAGAAAGGGAAAAAGAAAACGAAAGAAAAAAAGAAAGAAAAAUGGGUCCCUGUUCUGAAAGUUAUUAGUGUUGAAUAAUUUCAGAAAAACCUAAACGGCAAUGUCAUGUGACAAGACUGAUUACAGGGCUAUCAGUGCGGUGCUAAGGAGGUUUGGAGAAAAGCCACCAACUGCCUUAUGAAGGAGAAGGGACACAGGUAAAAGCAAUAUUUAAGAAGGUGGAAAUGCAAUAGGUGCAAAUUUCACCGUUAAAAUUUCCCAUUGGUAAAGAGAUCACUUGCUUUGUUUCUUUAUAACUAAAUUUAACUCAGGAACCACCGUUCCACUUUGGUAGAAGACAACUUAAUUUUAUCAAUUCAAGAAACAUUCAGUCACUUCUGGUUUAAUAUUGAGUCUCUUGAGAAACCACUAAACCAAUUCAACACUUUCUUCCUCUCCUCUUCUGAGGGCUGCCUCAGGCUGACGUCAUUAUUAAGAAUUUGUUUUAUUGUCAGUCUGGGUUUGAGUAAGAGGGUUAUUUACUAUCCGAGAACUGGGGGGAGAUAUGGCCCACAGCUAGAGCAUAUCUCUGUGUUGGCAUCUUCUAAGAUGAACCAUCCUUCUUCAUCUAUCAUUGCAUUGUUCACAGAAAAUUCUACAUUUCUGUUUGUUAAUUGGUCACUAUGUUCUUGCAAAUCAUUCUCCAUCCUCCUUAAACUUACUCCAAUGUCUGUGCAGUUCUGCUGUCUCACCAUCAAAAUUUUCUGGACCCUAGCUUCCCAGAGCACAUGCAUUAAAAAAAAAAAAAAAAAAAAAAAAAA